rnacentral:rRNA from 1 species
AAAUUCAAAAUGAAUCAAAACUUUCAACAACGGAUCUCUUGGUUCUGGCAUCGAUGAAGAACGCAGCGAAAUGCGAUAAGUAAUGUGAAUUGCAGAAUUCAGUGAAUCAUCGAAUCUUUGAACGCACAUUGCGCCCGCCAGUAU